UACGAAGGGGGCUAGCGUUGCUCGGAAUUACUGGGCGUAAAGCGCACGUAGGCGGAUUGUUAGGUCGGGGGUGAAAUCCUGGAGCUCAACUCCAGAACUGCCUUCGAUACUGGCGAUCUCGAGUUCGGGAGAGGUGAGUGGAACUGCGAGUGUAGAGGUGAAAUUCGUAGAUAUUCGCAAGAACACCAGUGGCGAAGGCGGCUCACUGGCCCGGUACUGACGCUGAGGUGCGAAAGCGUGGGGAGCAAACAGG
rnacentral:rRNA from 1 species